rnacentral:rRNA from 1 species
UAUUGCACAAUGGGGGAAAACCUGAUGCAGCAACGCCGCGUGAGUGAAGAAGUAUUUCGGUAUGUAAAGCUCUAUCAGCAGGGAAGAAGAUGACGGUGCCUGAGUAAGAAGCCCCGGCUAACUACGUGCCAGCAGCCGCGGGAAUACGUAGGGGGCAAGCGUUAUCCGGAUUUACUGGGUGUAAAGGGAGCGUAGACGGUGAGACAAGUCUGAAGUGAAAGCCCGGGGCUCAACCCCGGGACUGCUUUGGAAACUGCCUGACUGGAGUGCUGGAGAGGCAAGCGGAAUUCCUAGUGUAGCGGUGAAAUGCGUAGAUAUUAGGAAGAACACCAGUGGCGAAGGCGGCUUGCUGGACAGUAACUGACGUUGAGGCUCGAAAGCGUGGGGAGCAAACAGG